AAAUCUAUCUGGUUAUGCAGGCAAACUGGACAGUGGGCAUUGCAAAGUAGCUUUGAGCGGCUACUCCCCUUUGCAUACGUCAGGUGUCACUCACCGCCUCGAUUCUUCUGCUAUAAAGCCCAACAGGUUACCCCCUGGUCUAUAUAACGGACAGGAGGAGCAGCGUAUUUGUUAGGUGCACGAGAGGUUGGACGGAAGUAUCUGUUGUUUAAGCAAACAGACAAACAAAAACAGCAACAAAAUGACUGCAUUGACAUUCGUGUGUCUCGGAGUGCUCAUGCUGGCCAUUUAUUUACCCACUCAGGUAGAUUCUGGCAACAGCACAGUCACACAAAGUGCCAAUCAGGCUAACAGCACAAAUGUAACUGCAACAGUCUUUCUAACCACCACUCCCUUUAGAAACAACAUGAUCACCAAAGGUGCUGGCAAUGCCCUGCAGUCCUCUCUCAGCCCCCUCCUCAUCCAGUUCAUCGCGUGUGCCUCCGUGCUGCAUCUCUGCUGUUAAAACCGCUUUACAAAAGAGACAACCCAAACUUUAACAUCCAACAGUGAAGAUGGAAACCAAAUCACACAGAGAAGGAAUGAUUUAAAACACAGCCAUUUUUUUUUUUGUUGUUGUAUCAAUGUGUCUGUAUGAAAAAAAUAAACAAAAUGAAAAGAAAUUAGCUACCACCAGAACUUUGUGCCGACAAAUCUGAGGAAACAAUCUCUUGAAGAUUUGUUUAAUGUCAACACCUCUUUGGAAACCCGUAUCGAGCAAGUUCUUAAUUGUACCCCUCACAAUCCAUAAUGCCAUUCGAUGAAGACCCAUGCCACUACAUAUUGAACUCAUCUAGCUUGUGGUAAAGAGCUUGGGGUGUAUGUCUGACCAAACAUAUUUUACUGAACAGAACUGUUUGAAAGCCCAUGAAGUAUGACUACACUUUUCUGGCCACUGUUCAAGCAACUAGAUGAAUCUGACACGUCAAGCAUUUUUCACCAAGUUGCUCAACAAAAGGUUUUUUUGUGUUGUUCGUUGACUUGCAUGUUGGUUCUCAUUGUCAUUUCUGUUGAGGUUUAUGUAGUAGUUGCAGGGCUGUUCGUGAGCUUCUUAAACUGUUGGAAAGGGUUUCAUAAAAUGAAAACCUGAUUUAAUAAUCAAAAAACAGUCCUUAAAGUUUUGUGAACAGGGCCCAAUCCCUUAGAUAUCAAAUUGACGCCUAAAUCCAGUUUUGAGUUAUUUUCAAUUUCCAUUUUAACACCGAUAAAGAGAUUUUCUUUCUUUUCAAUUUUGGAUUUUUAUUUUCAAGAAAGCAUGUGAAAAGAUAUAAAAUCGUAUUCCCAUUUAAGAUUAAAGUAGAUGGUCAGAGCUGGGAUUUGUUUACCAUAUCACCAUAACACCAUUUAUGGAUGCUCAUUUUCUUUUUUUUUUCAUAUCUAGACAUCUUACAAGAUUACAGGGAAUCUUAAAGACAUUUGUACAAGCAAUCCAACAAUAUUGCAGAAGACAUUUUAGCUAGUCAGAUUGUUAAAUUGCUGUGGUGAAAGAUUUUGUCCCAUAGUUUAUAUUUUUUGUAUAAAUUGCAUUUUAUUAAAAAAAAAGUAUUUCUUUGAAUUGUUUCAAUGAUGACAGAGAGAUCAGGGAGUAACAUUUUACUUCAUUAAAUGUAUAUUCAAACUGUCAGAAAUAAGAUCAACAACAAAUAAAAGCAAACUUGUACUAUG